UACGAAGGGGGCUAGCGUUGUUCGGAGUCACUGGGCGUAAAGCGCACGUAGGCGGAUCUUUAAGUCAGGGGUGAAAUCCCGAGGCUCAACCUCGGAACUGCCUUUGAUACUGGGGAUCUCGAGUCCGGGAGAGGUGAGUGGAACUGCGAGUGUAGAGGUGAAAUUCGUAGAUAUUCGCAAGAACACCAGUGGCGAAGGCGGCUCACUGGCCCGGAACUGACGCUGAGGUGCGAAAGCGUGGGGAGCAAACAGG
rnacentral:rRNA from 1 species